rnacentral:lncRNA from 1 species
ACCAGGUUGUUUGCAGCCUGUUUUCUUUCUCCACGUUCCUUAUGGGAUUCGCAGACAGUGCGCAGGGCUGGCUUGCUUUCUUUUUUUAAACUGCUGCAAUUGCUAAAUCUUCCCACAUUGAAAGGUAUUUAAACCACGAAGAUCGAAUUUCAUCAAACCAGAUCUCGAGUUGGAAUUAGGUCUGUAGGCCAGAUGUGGAAAAUGCAAAAGCAGCAAACAGCAGAAGCCACACUCUCUUCCCUCUCCCACAUUGGCGUGAAAUAAAAUAUUUUGCGAUUGGCCUUCCGAGUUCAUCAGAUUCCACCUCUCUGGUUAUGCAUUCCCGAUUCGGGAUUACUUUUCACAUGGAAAACGAGAGCCUUUUGCAGAAGAUCGAGAUUGCUCGCGUUUCGUCACCGUGAAUGACAUAAUUUCCCUCUGUGCGGAGACCCAGCCCGGAGAGUCCGGUCCGCGUUUGCAGUUGGAGUGCUUCGGUCCACGGCCGUAGGGCUCGUUUUCAGCCUCCCGCCGACCUCGGAGGGGUUCCUUUGUUUUGACUGUGAGAGUGUGGCCCCGGCAGGGCCGGCAGGCCGCCGGCGGCGGUGAGGUUCUAGACCACGACUCGGAUCACGACUAGGCAGAAGCCUCCUGCGGUCCGGGCAGCGUGAGGCUCGGGCGCCCGGGUCCCCUCGGUGUGUAAACAGGUCCUGGCCCGGCCGCCGCACCCUGGUUCCCAGCGCCCGGCGCUGGUGGCUGUGGGGGCUUUAAUUUAACGUGCCUGGAGGGUCAGGCGUGCACCCAACAAGCUGGUCCUCUACCACCCGUAUUGUGGAGAAAAACCCACCACACCAUCUUUCUAGUUUUCACCUAGUGGUCGAUCCUGCAGUCUUUAUUUUCUGCUCAUUGUAGGGAAAUAGGUCAGACUCUGAGUGAAAAAGACAGCUGGUUCCAGCCAAUAACUCUUUGUUCAAGUGUUGUUUUGGAAAUCACCAAGCUGAACGUCGUUACGCGAAGCGCCACCUCCUCGCUGUCCAGCUCCCGCGGACGCCUUACUGGAUCGCGAAGUCAGUCCACACGGCAGACGGAAGGCCGCUUUCGCGGAAAGGCAGCGCGCUGCAAGGCCUGAGACCCGGCGCAGCACGCCACGCACGCCUCUCCUCCGCACACCUCCCACCCGAGCGGCCGACCCGCUCGCCGUCCGGAGAUCCCGAAGGCGCGCUUAAGGCUGUUGGUCCCCCACCCCCAACGUGAAUUGCCCCCCUUCCUCCUCACCCCCUUUCUGCUUUAGAUUGGGUGACUGCUAGCUCGCUUUCGGAUUUUCUCCCAGACACGUCCCUCGCCUCUAUUUGGGGGCUGCUCUGAUUGCUCCUUUGUUACCAGGCUGCAGUGGAGCUUUCCCCCUUUUCUUUCUCGAACGCCUAUUUGGCGGUAUCGGCGCGUCUCCCAGGCAACGGCCAGGGCUGCGGGAGCC